ensembl:lncRNA
CCCGUUUUGAGGCUAACGCUGUGAGCUAACGUAUUUGAGUUGGAGGACGUAUCCGCACCCCAGCGGUGGGGAGCGGGGCUGUUGACUCUGAUGCGACGUCCGACCCUCAGACUGUAGGGUGGCAACGGGCCGGGGGUACGACUACAGUGGAGCUGUUUAUGUAAAGGCUGCAGGGCGGCGGGCUAAUUACAGAGUACAGAGGCUGGGGAUUAAGAUGACAGGCCUGGGAAGCAGAUUGUCCGGUACGGGUAGGAGCGGCUUCUAGGUUUCCGCAUGGUGGCGAGCUGCGUCUCGGCACGACCGGAUCGAUGGAGCUCGCACUCAGAUCCUCACAGCAACACAAGGAGGACUGACGAUAUCGGGACUAUGUGGAGGCCACAUCAAAGAGGCAGAAGUUCCCCUGAGAGCUGGUUAUCAGACACCUGGAACACAGCGUACCUUCACUACAGCAUCAGAGGGGAAGCAUGGUCGGUCUGGGGCGGCCUCAGGAGGAAGAGCAUCCAGAUCAGGAACCUCCUCCUCAUGUGGGACUCCACAUCAGGCUGCUGGAACAUCUAAACCUACUGAUGGACUCCAGCACCAGUGGACCUCAUGUAGCUGCUGUAACAUCUUAACCUCCUCCUGAUGGAACAUCUAACCCGAGUGAACCCAGGAUCCUCCUCCAAUGUGACCCCUGUGGGUCCAGGAGGAGGAAGGCAGCGCUGAUUGCAGAGGAAUACCAGUUGGGAGGGGGGGGGAGACUCUAUCUCCUCUAUCUCCC